rnacentral:rRNA from 1 species
UACGGGGGGGGGCAAGCGUUGUUCGGAAUUACUGGGCGUAAAGGGCGCGUAGGCGGUCCGCUAAGUUCGGCGUGAAAUCCCCCUGGCUCAACUGGGGAACGGCGCUGGAUACUGGUGGACUCGAGUACCGGAGAGGAGAGUGGAAUUCCUGGUGUAGCGGUGGAAUGCGCAGAUAUCAGGAGGAACACCGAUGGCGAAGGCAGCUCGCUGGAACGGUACUGACGCUGAGGCGCGAAAGCGUGGGGAGCAAACAGG